UUAACAACCAAAGAGUUCAAUCCGAAAUUAUAAAAUGUAAGUUUUAGGUUUUCGAUAUAUAGUAUAUAUAUAUAUAUACACACCUUAGGCUUAAAGAUUUAGGGUUAGUCAAACGAGAUGUUCGGCUCGAUUUUUUUUACUCUUUCGCUCGUCUCUCGUACCAGUACUUUGGUUACUUGGAAUGGAAACGUCAACUACGAUUUCGUCUAUUGCAGCUGUUUACAAAUGGAUCGCGGUUGGCGGAGAGGUGCUGACCUUGAAGCCGAUUGCCAUUCUUAUUUUAGAAACGCUUCUGUAGCGAUACUGUCAAAAAAUCCUCCACCCAACGAGUUCGAAUUUUAAUAUCUCCCAUUGUGCCACCACUAAAUAAUCUGACAGGCCGAUGGUAAAAUUUAUUAUCAUUGUUAUUAUUCCUUCGGAUCGAUUUGAACCGUAUUAAUUUUAAUGGGAACACUUGUUACCAUGCUGUUGCUCUCUCCAUCGUGUGUUAAGUAAACCGAGGAAUCGUGCAUUGUGAUAUUUAUCAGAUGUGGAAAUUAAGACGGCUUGUCAAACUAGCCAUUCUAAGAAAUCCCAUUCUAGUAAUUGCAUCAUUGUAUCGCCCCGCGUGUGACUCACUUGUCAGUCUGUUAUCGUCUCAGCCUUGUAUUCGUAUUGGUCGUUGCUACUCGUUUUGUUGAUAUUUAUGCCCAAACGGUAGCUAGACAUUUUGAUCGGAAAGUAUAAAACUGUAUCAUAACUCGUUUUCUUUAAUUCUUCUCUAUACAAUAGACAAACCAUAAAUUUUCUUGUUAUACAGUUAUAAAAACUUUAUCCUUUCGAGUUUCA
rnacentral:lncRNA from 1 species